CCCUACAGCUAUGCUGGACUGAAUGCAUGUGGUUCGUCUGCUCUUAGAAGCUAAGUAAUUCUGGGCCUGGUUAACAGGUGCUCUUGGUA
rnacentral:rRNA from 1 species